GACGAACGCUGGCGGCGUGCUUAACACAUGCAAGUCGAACGGAAAGGCCCUGCUUUUGUGGGGUGCUCGAGUGGCGAACGGGUGAGUAACACGUGAGUAACCUGCCCUUGACUUUGGGAUAACUUCAGGAAACUGGGGCUAAUACCGGAUAGGAGCUCCUGCUGCAUGGUGGGGGUUGGAAAGUUUCGGCGGUUGGGGAUGGACUCGCGGCUUAUCAGCUUGUUGGUGGGGUAGUGGCUUACCAAGGCUUUGACGGGUAGCCGGCCUGAGAGGGUGACCGGCGACAUUGGGACUGAGAUACGGCCCAGACUCCUACGGGAGGCAGCAGUGGGGAAUAUUGCACAAUGGGCGGAAGGCUGAUGCAGCAACGCCGCGUGCGGGAUGACGGCCUUCGGGUUGUAAACCGCUUUCGCCUGUGACGAAGCGUGAGUGACGGUAAUGGGUAAAGAAGCACCGGCUAACUACGUG
rnacentral:rRNA from 1 species